rnacentral:rRNA from 1 species
CAGUCGCCGCGGUAAUACGUAGGGUGCGAGCGUUAAUCGGAAUUACUGGGCGUAAAGCGUGCGCAGGCGGUUGUGUAAGACAGGUGUGAAAUCCCCGGGCUUAACCUGGGAACUGCGCUUGUGACUGCACAGCUAGAGUAUGGCAGAGGGAGGUGGAAUUCCACGUGUAGCAGUGAAAUGCGUAGAGAUGUGGAGGAACACCGAUGGCGAAGGCAGCCCCCUGGGCCAAUACUGACGCUCAUGCACGAAAGCGUGGGGAGCAAACAGGAUUAGAUACCCCCGUAGUCCCUGUCUCUUAUAC